rnacentral:rRNA from 1 species
UACGGAGGGUGCAAGCGUUAAUCGGAAUUACUGGGCGUAAAGCGCACGCAGGCGGUCUGUUAAGUCAGAUGUGAAAUCCCCGGGCUUAACCUGGGAACUACAUUUGAAACUGGCAGGCUUGAGUCUUGUAGAGGGGGGUAGAAUUCCAGGUGUAGCGGUGAAAUGCGUAGAGAUCUGGAGGAAUACCGGUGGCGAAGGCGGCCCCCUGGACAGAGACUGACGCUCAGGUGCGAAAGCGUGGGGAGCGAACAGG